AGAAACUGCUCUUUGUAAAUAAUUGUAAUCUGUUCUGGGAGUGUCCUAGGCUUUUUCGCACUGAUGGCCUGCACCCCAGCAGAGUCGGAGUGGAACUCCUGUCGGACAAGAUCUCCAGGAUUCUACGCUCCAUAUGACUAUUGUUUGGACUCUCCUUCUGACAGCACCCAUUCAUUGCAAAGCAUCCACUGGUGAACAGGUGAUGUAAUGCUGAAUUUCUCCAAAUCUGUUCAAAUGAAGAAACAAACUCAUCUACAUCUUGAAUGGCCUGAGGGUCAACGUAGCCACCAAAUCCAGUCUGUAUCCAGAUCAGAUGGUCACUGCAGUCACCUGGAUCCAGUACGUAUCCAGACCAGAUGGUGGAUCAGCACCUAGAAAGGACCACUACAGCCCUGAAAGACAGAGGACACCAGGACAACUAGAUGGGCCCUAAAUACAGAUCCCCUGUAAAGACCUAGUCUCAGACGACCACCGGGACAAGACCACAGGAACCAGUUGAGUACUCUGCACAAUGUGACUUUGCUGCAGCCUGGAGUUGAACUGCUGGUUUCAUCUGGCCAGAGGAGAACUGGCUCCCCGACUGAGCCUGGUUUCUCCCAAGGUUUUUUCUCCUUUCUGUCACAGAUGUAGUUUUGCUUCCUUGCCGCUGUCGCCUCUGGCUUGCUUAGUUGGGGACACUUCAUUUCAAGCGAUAUCAUUGACUUGAUUGCAAAUGAUUGUAAAUAUAUUAUUUAAACUGAACUUAGCUGGAUGAUGACAUCACUGAACUCAAUGAUGAACUGCAU
ensembl:lncRNA